rnacentral:rRNA from 1 species
UACGUAGGGUGCAAGCGUUGUCCGGAAUUAUUGGGCGUAAAGAGCUCGUAGGCGGUUUGUCGCGUCUGCUGUGAAAACUGGAGGCUCAACCUCCAGCCUGCAGUGGGCACGGGCAGACUAGAGUGCGGUAGGGGAGAUUGGAAUUCCUGGUGUAGCGGUGGAAUGCGCAGAUAUCAGGAGGAACACCAAUGGCGAAGGCAGAUCUCUGGGCCGUAACUGACGCUGAGGAGCGAAAGCAUGGGGAGCGAACAGG